AAAAAAUUAAGAACCUCGACGAUGUUCUCGCAUUGGAUGCUCCAAAAAUUAAUUAGACCAAAAGAGGUUCUAAACUAAUCAAAUCACAAGAUGACUAAUUUAUUCAUUAGAACCCUAAAGGGUCUCAAACCAAUGGAGGUGGUCUAAAGAUAAAUACUUUGAAACCCAUGUUUUGAAAAUAUAAUUGAUGGCGAUGACGAUGGCGACUGCGACUGCGACGAUUGCGAUCUAGUUUUUUUGAUGGGUCUUCAAGAUGGAGAGGAACAGCACUGGGUAGAUCAUCAUCAGAAUAGUGUAAUCGAAUCGAUUUGGAAGCGGAAGGAAGAUUCGGGACACAGAUCUUAAAAGGAUAUUUGGGCAAAGAGGAAAGUAGGGGUUGGAAGAGGGGAGGGAAUCAAUGGGAUUUCAUAUCGAACAAUCUCAGGAUUACGGAGGAGAUAUUCUCACAAUGGCUCCAAGAUUUGGCGGGGACAGAUGGACAAGCGAGUUGUGGUUUCAACACUCUCUCCGCACUAAAGUACAGUUCUGUUCUUGGCUUGUCUCUCUUGUUGGUCUUAAUGGCUCGGAGCCAGCUUAUUGGUAAGGUUGGAAACAUCAAGUCCGGUGAAGGAGCUCACAAACGUUUGAAGAUUGCAGUUCAACACUUCCUGGGGUCUGUCGUUUCUGGUUAUUGUCUCUUUCUUAUUUUCAUAACUCUAUGAGCAUUUUUAUCUGUUUUAUUUCAGUUGGUUAUUUGCUUCAAAGUGUAUUUUUUUAUGGUGGCUAGAUCUUUAUAUAAGAUUAUGCUAUGGAAUAAAAUUGAAUUUUGUUGGUACUGGUAUUGGUGUCUUUUGGUUUUGAAGAAAAGUAUAUUCAUGUU